rnacentral:rRNA from 1 species
CGAGCGAGACCCACGCCAACAGUUGCCAGCUCGGUCCUCCCGGGGAUGGUGGGGACACUGUUGGGACCGCCGUCUGCUAAAGAGGAGGAAGGAAUGGGCAACGGUAGGUCAGCAUGCCCCGAAUUAUCUGGGCUACACGCGGGCUACAAUGGGUGGGACAAUGGGUAUCGGCACCGAAAGGUGAAGGCAAUCUCCUAAACCCAUCCGUAGUUCGGAUUGUGGGCUGCAACUCGCCCACAUGAAGCUGGAAUCUGUAGUAAUCGUGUCUCAAAAUGGCACGGUGAAUAUGUCCCUGCUCCUU